rnacentral:rRNA from 1 species
AUGGGCAUCCUAGGCAACAUCCUGUCGUUCCUGGUUAUCCUGGCGCCGGUGCCGACGUUCUACCGUGUGUACACGAGGAAGUCGACGGAGUCGUUCCAGUCAGUUCCCUACGCGAUGGCGCUGCUGAGCGCAAUGCUGUGGCUCUACUACGCGCUGCUCACCAAAGACCUCCUCCUCCUCACCAUCAACACGGUGGGGUGCGUCGUCGAGUCCGCCUACCUCGCCAUCUACCUCGCCUACGCGCCCAAGCAGGCCAGGGCCUUCACCGCCAAGCUCGUGGGCAUCAUGAACGUGGCGCUCUACGGGGCCAUGGUCUGCGUCCUGCAGCUGUUGGUCAAGGACGGCGAGAGCCGCGUCACCAUCGCCGGUGGCAUCGGCUCCGCCUUCGCGCUCGCCGUCUUCGUCGCCCCUCUCGCCAUCAUCAGGCAAGUGAUCGGGACCAAGAGCGUGGAGUUCCUGCCCUUCUGGCUAUCCUUCUUCCUCACCAUCAGCGCCGUCGUCUGGUUCUUCUACGGCCUACUCAUGAAAGAUUUCUUCGUGGCGACACCCAACGUGCUGGGGCUGCUGUUCGGGCUGGCCCAGAUGUCGUUGCACCUGGUGUACAAGAACCCCAAGAAGAAGGGCGCCGUGUCGGAGGUACAGGUCCCGGCGGACGACGAGAAGAACCAGCUGCCACUUCAGCAGCAGCAGGCCGGCACAACGGCACACGUCGUUGCGCCCAUCAUCGAAGCCGACGAGGAGGUCGUGAACGGCAGGGAGGACGACGGCGGCGACAAGCAGCAAAGCGUGUCCGUGGUGGACAUCGUGCUGCCGCCCCCCGAGGAGCACCCCACACUGCCGCCAGUCGACCACCCUGCGCCACUGCCGCCCAUGAGAAUGGCCGUCGAGGUGGUCUGA